UCUAAUGUGGCAGAAUAGUGCCAUGGAUUUAAACCCCAUUUAUAAAGACCCCUUUCUUUAGAA
rnacentral:tRNA from 1 species